rnacentral:tRNA from 1 species
UCCCUGGAGGUCUAGUAGUUAAGACUCCACAUUCCCAAUGCAGGAGGCCCAGUUCAAUCCUGGUCAGGGAA